AGUGAACGCUGGCGGUAGGCCUAACACAUGCAAGUCGAACGGCAGCACAGUAAGAGCUUGCUCUUACGGGUGGCGAGUGGCGGACGGGUGAGGAAUACAUCGGAAUCUACUUUUUCGUGGGGGAUAACGUAAGGAAACCUACGCUAAUACCGCAUACGACCUACGGGUGAAAGCAGGGGAUCUUCGGACCUUGCGCGAUUGAAUGAGCCGAUGUCGGAUUAGCUAGUUGGCGGGGUAAAGGCCCACCAAGGCGACGAACCGUAGCUGGUCUGAGAGGAGGAUCGGCCACACUGGAAGUGAGACACGGUCCAGACGCCUACGGGAGGCAGCAGUGGGGAAUAGUGGACAAUGGGCGCGAGCCUGAUCCAGCCAGACCGCGUGGGUGAAGAAGGCGUUCGGGUUGUAAAGCCGGUUUGUUGGGAAAGAACAGCAGCAGGUUAAUACCCCGCUGUUCUGACGGUACCCAAAGAAUAAGCACCGGCUAACUUCGUG
rnacentral:rRNA from 1 species